rnacentral:piRNA from 1 species
UGUCGAGUGAUGAUCAGAACC